UCUCAGAUGCGCAGUAAUCACCAGACCACUGCACAUGGAUUGAGAUGCCAUCUGACUGAGGAGCUGAAAAUCAGACGACAGAGGUGCAGCUGUUAACCUGAAGUUGGAAGACGUGCACAUCGAUGGAACCACUAAAACUUCUUUCAACAGGUUGAUCUACAAACUGUGAGUGCUUUUUUGUUAUGGCAACUGUCCCAUCUGUCCUUUAUUUUCCAUUUCCUCUUUCCAUCUCUUGAAAUUGGUCUCCACAUGUAGGAUUAUAACGGUACACAAAGCUUCAUAGAAUACCAGUUUUGAGGUUUGAUUCAAAGUCCUUCAAUACCAGCUCAGAAUUGACCAUUAAACCAGCAGCUGAAGAAUUCCAGGUUUUCUGACCAACUGUACCGUUCCAUCCUGCUGUGGUCAGUGUGCAAAUUCAUAGGAACUGUAGUGUAGCUGUGGGCAUCUUUACAUACAGACUGUGCAGUGUGGUCAAGCUGCCUUGUGGCUCAGCAGUUGCAACGAGGCAGCUUCACCUGACAAUUGAACUCUCUCAUACUGAGCUGUCAUCUCCUGCAUGUCCAGCACCUCUUUAUAUCUGCACCUGUCUGUCAAGCAUGAUCACUACAUCUGCCACGCCUCUGUGGCUGCACUACCUGUGGUAUUCCUUGUUCUUCCCUCAUUCACCAAGCUGAUGCCAGAAGAUGGAGCUGCAGCAGGAACUUCCAGAGACGAUGACUGGAAAUGGAGUCUUCAGAGUCUAUGAAAGUUCUCAGAUGCGCAGCAAUCACCAG